rnacentral:lncRNA from 1 species
UUUUCUCUGCUUAUUUUUCCUUGGGGACGUUGCAAAUGAGAAUAAGCAAAAAAAAGUCAGGGAAAAAAGAUAUUUUCCAGGGUAACGUUUGUCUUGCUGCUUUGAUCGUAGAGGACAGAACGCGAGAUGCAUGCCUGAAGAAUGGAAAGCAGAGGUGAAGGAGCGAAACUCGACAUCUGAUCACAAAAGGAAACCCCGACGGCUUUCCAGUAACGAGGAAGGGAACAAGGGAGAACAAGAACCUGCUGGGAUGGGAGGCACUUAUUCAGCACGGCGGAGGAAGCCACCAUUCAAGUACAGCUGCCUUUCCUGGUGCAUCACUAAACCAUCGUUUAAAAAAACAAGCAGGACCCGAGGCUGGCAAGCGGCUUUGAAAACUGAUUGAACCUUAUUAGCUAUUCCCCCUUGUUUGAGUAUUUGAGUUCAGUAUUUAGGAUCUGUUAUUUAGGUCUCCCUAUUUGGAAAGAAGAGGCCCAAGUUUUGUCUCUAAGCCGGUGGGGUGGGCUGUGCACUGGGCAAGCCUGGAACCCCGAGCCUCACACUGUCGAGCUGAGUCCUCCGGACGUCGGGAGCUGCUCUGGAUGUCACACCCUCCGUGCGGCCCCAAGUAGAAGGCUUGGGGCAGUUAGAGAAUUAUAUUGUCAUCAUCAUCAUAACUCAGUCACAACGGAGAUUGUCGUGAUGAUGAUAAAUAUUGCAAAAAAAGGCUUUCCGUCUUUGUUUCCCUUUCGUGAUUGGGGAAGAAUCGGGAAGAAUUUUCGUUUUGCAAAAGUGAACCGAGAAGGUUGCAUUUUCGAGCAGAAACAGACUCUACAAUAAGCUAACAACACAGUAGCAAUCAUUAAAAGUUACCAGACUAAUUAAAAUGCCAACUGUCUCACAAUAAACAGUAACUACACAACCUCUAGGUGAAGACC